ensembl:lncRNA
AGUAUAACCUGUUAUACUCUUUUUAUCCCAGGCUCAUUGAGAUCUAGGCAAGGGAAGUGAGCCUGACCUCUUCAACUAGGUUCUGCUGCCAAAAACUUCAUGGUCACCGCAGUUCAAACAGAAGUUUCUCAGUCAGUGACAAGACAGGGAAGUAGAACGUGUUGGUGAAAAUGAGACUAGAGAAAAAUGAAAGCAGAUUUAUAACACUCUACAUUCAGGAAAACACAUGACUGAGUCUGUUGUAUGCAACAUGGCUUGCUGAAAGUGCUCUAAAGUAGGAGACAGGAGAGAAAGAGAAAAAGUCUACUCUGAGCUCAGGCAGUAACUGACUGGUGUAAACUCCCUGGCCUUUAUGUGGAGGGACCGUAAAACAAAAAGCAGUAGAAGGACAAACGAGGAAAGUCAGUGUAACGACAAUGAAGAAACUGCAUGUGUACAGGAAGUGUAGAGAAAGACUUCAAAUUCCAGCGGGCAAUGGAAUUGCAAACCUCUGCCACAGUACCCACUACUUUCUACUUGACUCUGUUAUUUCUGGAUCUGCCUACCAGAGUCCAUAUUCCUCACUGAAGAUGGAGUUUAGGUGUGGAAAAAGUCUACAUGCAAAGUAACUACUAAUGAAAGUUUGUGAAGAUGUUAAAAUCAACAAAUUAAUCACCCUUAUCUUGAGAAUAUUUUUCCCUUUGCUAAUGUUGACAUCUUUACUUAAUUCUUGUAUUUCUCUUUCCUUUUAUUGCCAAAAAUUUUAAAUAAAUGAGCUAUAUUCAGUUCCUCAGUAGCAAUACUUUAUUAUUGCACAUGUAUUUUAAUGGCAUCUUAUGUGUCAGAUUCAAAGGUCUUCAUCCAUUCUCAUUUUUCUUCACACUUUUUGAGUUCUCACUCCUAUUCACCAUAAAUUUUUCUUGAAAGCUUCUUUAUCCCCAAAUUUCAAAAUACUGGAGGAUUCUUCUCCUCAAUUCUGCCUCUCUCUUUUGGUAAUAACUCCUAAAUUGAUACAACACCCACGUUGCACUCUCUGAUUGCUGUGCUGUGAGUAUGCAAGUAUGAAUAAGACAGGUUUCUGGGACCUCCCAAUCUAGCGAAAUGCAAGAGCAUGGGGCCUAUCUGCUGUGAGAGGCAUAACCAAAGCACUAAGGUGGAACUGAUGCUGGCCUAAUAAAUAUGUGGGGGGAGGCAGCAUGGGAACAGGGAACAGCAAAUGGAAAAUUGUGGUAAUAACAACCUGUGAUAUGUCAGAAACUGGGUGAGAAAUUUAUCAAGGCUAGAGCUUAAAGGUAGAUAAAAAGUUGAAGAUCAGGAGAGCUGAAAAGAAGACUGAGGACUGAGUUGUAAAGGAUUUUACUCUUUAUGCAAAUAUAUUUGCUCUUUAAUGAACACAGUCAGUGCUCAAUAAGUGCUGGGUAAAAGUAUCAAUAAAUCAUUUGACUAACUAGCAUGUGUUGAAUAGGAAGUGAAAAAUAAAUGAUCUCUGAUUAUGAGAAACAUAAUAUGUAGUUGGAGGGAAAACAGUUUAUAGGAUGAGAAAACAUAGAAUACUACAAAAUUAUACAAGGCACAUAAGUAUGGGAGAAAAGAGUAUUAAUCAAUGUGUAUAUACUGACUAUUAGUCCUUGAAUGCCAAGUAGGCUUUGGGUAGAGUCAGAAGAGAAAGGAUGACAUUUAGGUAAAUGGAAAAGCUCAAACAAAGACAUAGCUGAAAAUUGGCCAAGAAUGGAAUAAGAAUAAUACUGGCAUUGGGCUACAUGAAUAACUACUGUGUGUUGGGAAAUGUAAUAGUCAUUGAUGUUUGCAAUAGCCAGCAACCAAGCUGGCCACAAAGAGUCCCAUUCUCAUAUUUAUUAGCAAG